rnacentral:tRNA from 1 species
GCUGGAGUGGCGGAAUUGGCAGACGCACGAGACUCAAAAUCUCGCGCUGGUUACCCAGCAUGGGGGUUCAACUCCCCCCUCCAGCACCA